rnacentral:lncRNA from 1 species
CAUCGAUGGAUCCUACAAAAUCAACACCGAUGACACUGUCACAUAAGAUUUUACGAGUGAUGGGGUAUCAUAAGAAAUCAUGAUGGACGAUGUAUAGCCUUCUUUUCUUCCCACGACAGGUGCCAGAUUCUUGAGGCGGAGCUACGGCCAUUCUUUAUGGUAUCCUUAUUGCGUGUCAAUUUGGAGUCUCGAGUUUAUGGAUAGAGGCGGUUUAGGGAUAGAGGCGGAUUCUCCUACUGCGAUCCACUAAAUCACACUUGGUGGAGGACCACGGUCCAUCAAGGCUAUUCUAUGACAUCAGACAUCUGGUUUUCUUCAAUCAUGCGGGAUGGGAAUCGCGGUGCUAUCUGGAGUACGGUCCUCUUGACUUGCCACGCGUGGACACGAUUUAAUUAAAGUCGAACUUUGAAUUUUUGGGACCCAAAAAAACUUUUGAGUUCGAGCCCUUAAAUUAUUGCAUUCGAUGUACAUUCAAUUUCUUUUUAACUAAUCUAUAAACCCAAAGGUCAAUGAAACAAUAAACAAAAUGAAAUAGCAUG